GACCAGAAAAACAAAACAAAACAGGAAGAACCAGGAGGGGGGGCGGAAAUCGCCUGAAACAGCCCCCUCCCCAGCUCCCCAGCUCCCCAGAUACGAGUUGCCUCCCUGUUGUAGCUGACUGUCUGAUCGGGGGCUACGCAGUGGAUGCGGCGAGACUCCUCCAAUUAUAAACACCCUGGAGUGUUCAAGUUCAGCAGGAGCCACACUUGAAAAUCAAUCCAUCUACCGAUAUUUAUUGAACUGCCCUGAAGCACACCUCCCUGGCUGGCCGAACACUCUGUGAGAACUUACUCUGCAGCCUGAACCACCCGGCCAGGUCCACCCCGGACUCCCCUCUGUGUCCCAGACCUGACAGCAGUGGCUCCACGUUGAAGUGCAGCUGGAAUCCCGUCACCAUCUCCCGAGUCCAGGUCGCGCCUGUCCACCUGUCUUGUCAUCACAUCCGCCG